rnacentral:misc_RNA from 1 species
GCUACUACCGAUUGAAUGGUUUAGUGAGGACUCCUGAUUGGCGCCGCCGCCCCGGCAACGGAGCAGCCGACUGCCGAAAAGUUGUUCAAACUUGAUCAUUUAGAGGAAGUAAAAGUCGUAACAAGGUUUCCGUAGGUGAACCUGCAGAAGGAUCAAGAACGGAAGAGCGGCGGGUAAGGAAAGAGGGUAGAUCUCGGUGGCCUCCGAUUCACUAAAAAAAAAAACGAAUCACUAACACGCAGUCCGUAAUCCAAUACGUACUGUCAUACUGAUUCAC